rnacentral:rRNA from 1 species
UACGGAGGGUGCGAGCGUUGUCCGGAAUCACUGGGCGUAAAGGGCGCGUAGGUGGCGCGGGCAGUCAACGGUGAAAGUUCAGGGCUCAACCCUGAAUCGGCCGUCGAUACUCCCAUGCUUGAGCACUGUAGAGGCAGAUGGAAUUCCGGGUGUAGCGAUGGAAUGCGUAGAGAUCCGGAAGAACACCGGUGGCGAAGGCGGUCUGCUGGGCAGUAGCUGACACUGAGGCGCGACAGCGUGAGGAGCAAACAGG